rnacentral:rRNA from 1 species
UACGUAGGGGGCUAGCGUUGUCCGGAAUCAUUGGGCGUAAAGCGCGCGUAGGCGGCCCGGUAAGUCCGCCGUAAAAGUCAAAGGCUCAACCUUUGAAUGUCAGUGGAUACUGCCGGGCUAGAGUCCGGAAGAGGCGAGUGGAACUCCUGGUGUAGCGGUGGAAUGCGCAGAUAUCAGGAGGAACACCGAUAGCGAAGGCAGCUCGCUGGGACGGUACUGACGCUAAGGCGCGAAAGCGUGGGGAGCGAACAGG